rnacentral:rRNA from 1 species
UACGUAGGUGACCAGCGUUGUCCGGAUUUACUGGGCGUAAAGAGCGCGCAGGCGGUCGUUCAAGUCGAGUGUGAAAGCCCCCGGCUCAACUGGGGAGGGUCACUCGAUACUGAUCGACUUGAGGGCAGGAGAGGGAAGCGGAAUUCCCGGUGUAGCGGUGAAAUGCGUAGAUAUCUGGAGGAACACCGGUGGCGAAGGCGGCGUUCUGGACUGCAACUGACACUGAAAAACGAAAGCCAGGGGAGCAAACGGG